rnacentral:rRNA from 1 species
AACGAACGCUGGCGGCAGGCCUAACACAUGCAAGUCGAGCGAGGACUUCGGUCCUAGCGGCGGACGGGUGAGUAACGCGUGGGAACGUGCCCUUUGCUUCGGAAUAGCCCUGGGAAACUGGGAGUAAUACCGGAUGAGCCCUUUGGGGGAAAGAUUUAUCGGCGAAGGAUCGGCCCGCGUUGGAUUAGGUAGUUGGUGGGGUAAUGGCCUACCAAGCCGACGAUCCAUAGCUGGUUUGAGAGGAUGAUCAGCCACACUGGGACUGAGACACGGCCCAGACUCCUACGGGAGGCAGCAGUGGGGAAUCUUAGACAAUGGGGGAAACCCUGAUCUAGCCAUGCCGCGUGAGCGAUGAAGGCCUUAGGGUUGUAAAGCUCUUUCAGCUGGGAAGAUAAUGACGGUACCAGCAGAAGAGGCCCCGGCUAACUCCG